UAAAUCUCCACCCAUGAGUCUACCUUGUACACAUUAACACUUUGUCUGCUGCACUGCCAUUUCUGAUACUCUGAAGUAUUAUGGAUGUGCUAAGGCCUUGUUCUUCCAAAUGGUGGAUCCAUCGUCUGGGUGUAUCCUCAGCUGCCUCAGGUGCCUGUGCUAGGCCCCACUUCUAAAGCCUAUCACCAGCCAAGGUGGAGCACCGCUGCAGCCAGCAAUUAGCUAAGCGGCAUUGUGACGUGUCGGGCCCCAGAAGCAGGAAGAAGAUCACACAGAGAACGGGACAGUGAGAACAGCGGCAAAGGGGGAGCCUUUUAGAUCCACUUACCUGAUACGAUGUCCGGAUUGGUGGUCCUCUCUGCAAUCAAAAUUUCUUCAAGUUCCAGGUGUCAUCGUCAUCCUUUCAAUCUUCAUCCUUGGAGAAAGAAGAAACUGUUAAUUACUUCCGUUCAUCAUGUCUAUACAGUUCUACUUACAGUUUAUUUACUAGCAGAUAUCUCAUCGAGAAAGAAGGAAGUGUUCACUGAUUACAGACCUUUUAUGAACUAUCCCACAUUUUGAUUGGAUACUCUUCCUCACUCAUGUU